AAGAUCCACAGAAACCCCUGCAGUCAUUCCACAGAACGGCUAUGGACGAUCUUUGCAAACAUCCCAAAAAUGUUCUGCUCUGGAAGAAGCCGGGAAUUAAUUCUGAAAAGAAGACGAUAUUUCCACAAGUGUCAUAAAGAAAUCAAUAGUGAGCUACAUAUUAUUGGUUUCUUCAGAACUGUGAAGAAUUUGCAGUAAAUCCCUCCAAAGGUUGGAAUGGAUAAUGCGUUGGUUCCGUUUUCAUGUUGUUUAGUCUUUCAUCAGUACUGGCCGAGGUAUCUUCUUGGAACAAAAGUAUAAAUCAUGUGUUCAGACAGCUGAAGAA